rnacentral:misc_RNA from 1 species
GCAAACUUGGUCAUUUAGAGGAAGUAAAAGUCGUAACAAGGUUUCCGUAGGUGAACCUGCGGAAGGAUCAUUCAUAAUAAAGUGUUUUAUGGCACUUUUUAAAAAUCCAUAUCCACCUUGUGUGCAAUGUUAGAUCUCGUCAAUCUUGGCGAGAUUUUUAUACAUCAACUCAUUCUUUAACUAAUUUGUCUGAAAAAUAUUAUGAAUAACUUAAUUCAAAAUACAACUUUCAACAACGGAUCUCUUGGCUCUCGCAUCGAUGAAGAACGCAGC